rnacentral:miRNA from 1 species
CGGACAGGGGACCUAGGACAGG